rnacentral:rRNA from 1 species
UACGAAGGGGGCUAGCGUUGUUCGGAAUCACUGGGCGUAAAGCGCACGCAGGCGGAUUGAUAAGUCAGGGGUGAAAGCCCGGGGCUCAACUCCGGAAUUGCCUUUAAGACUGCAUCGCUAGAAUUGUGGAGAGGUAAGUGGAAUUCCGAGUGUAGAGGUGAAAUUCGUAGAUAUUCGGAAGAACACCAGUGGCGAAGGCGACUUACUGGACACAUAUUGACGCUGAGGUGCGAAAGCGUGGGGAGCAAACAGG